rnacentral:rRNA from 1 species
UGAGGAAUCUUGCGCAAUGGGGGAAACCCUGACGCAGCAACGCCGCGUGAGUGAGGAAGGUCUUCGGAUCGUAAAGCUCUGUCAGUUGGAAAGAAAUGUCUGAGAGUCAAUCCCUUUCAGGCUUGACGGUACCAACAGAGGAAGCACCGGCUAACUCCGUGCCAGCAGCCGCGGUAAUACGGGGGGUGCAAGCGUUGUUCGGAAUUAUUGGGCGUAAAGAGCGUGUAGGCGGCCGGAUAUGUCAGAUGUGAAAGCCCCGGGCUUAACCCGGGAAGUGCAUUUGAAACUGUCCGGCUCGAGUAGGGGAGAGGGAAGUGGAAUUCCUGGUGUAGAGGUGAAAUUCGUAGAUAUCAGGAGGAACACCGGUGGCGAAGGCGACUUCCUGGCCCUAUACUGACGCUGAGACGCGAGAGCGUGGGUAGCA